rnacentral:tRNA from 2 species
CGGGGCGUAGCGCAGCCCGGUAGCGCACCUGCCUUGGGCGCAGGGGGUCGGAGGUUCAAAUCCUCUCGCCCCGACCA